UACAUGGGGUGCAAACGUUGCUCGGAAUUAUUGGGCGUAAAGCGCGUGUAGGCGGUCCGGUAAGUCGGCUGUGAAAGUCCAGGGCUCAACCCUGGGAUGCCGGUCGAUACUGCCGGACUAGAGUCCGGAAGAGGUGAGUGGAAUUCCUGGUGUAGCGGUGAAAUGCGUAGAGAUCAUGAGGAAGACCAGUGGCGAAGGCGGGUCUCUGGACAGUUCCUGACACUGAGACACGAAGGCCAGGGGAGCAAACGGG
rnacentral:rRNA from 1 species